GACGAACGCUGGCGGCGUGCUUAACACGUGCAAGUCGAGCGGUAAGGCCCUUUCGGGGGUACGACGAGCGGCGAACGGGUGAGUAACACGUGGGUGACCUGCCCUCAGCUCUGGGAUAAGCCUGGGAAACCGGGUCUAAUACCGGAUAUGACUCCAUGACGCAUGUUGUGGGGUGGAAAGCCUUGUGCGGCUGAGGAUGGGCCCGCGGCCUAUCAGCUUGUUGGUGGGGUGAUGGCCACCAAGGCGACGACGGGUAGCCGGCCUGAGAGGGCGACCGGCCACACUGGGACUGAGACACGGCCCAGACUCCUACGGGAGGCAGCAGUGGGGAAUCUUGCGCAAUGGGCGAAAGCCUGACGCAGCGACGCCGCGUG
rnacentral:rRNA from 1 species